rnacentral:miRNA from 2 species
UGGUUUUUUUGGAGCAUGAGG